GACGAACGCUGGCGGCGUGCUUAACACAUGCAAGUCGAACGAAGAGCGAUGGAAGCUUGCUUCUAUCAAUCUUAGUGGCGCACGGGUGAGUAACGCGUAAUCAACCUGCCCUUCAGAGGGGGACAACAGUUGGAAACGACUGCUAAUACCGCAUACGAUCUAAUCUCGGCAUCGAGGAAAGAUGAAAGGUGGCCUCUAUUUAUAAGCUAUCACUGAAGGCGGGGAUUGCGUCUGAUUAGCUAGUUGGAGGGGUAACGGCCCACCAAGGCGAUGAUCAGUAGCCGGUCUGAGAGGAUGAACGGCCACAUUGGGACUGAGACACGGCCCAGACUCCUACGGGAGGCAGCAGGGGGGAAUCUUCCGCAAUGGACGAAAGGCUGACGGAGCAACGCCGCGUGAGUGAUGACGGCCUUCGGGUUGUAAAGCUCUGUUAAUCGGGACGAAAGGCCUUCUUGCGAAAAGUUAGAAGGAUUGACGGUACCGGAAUAGAAAGCCACGGCUAACUACGUG
rnacentral:rRNA from 1 species